GAAGUUUCUUGGCAUUAAAAUAGUAAUGGAUCCAAAAUGUAAUCUUGGUGUUAGCGCCUUAUGGGAUAAAAAAUGCUAAAUUGCUUACCUCUGUACAUGGGAUGCACGCUGUACCAGGUGAGCUACCCAGGUUUCCUCUUCUCACGUAUAUAAUCUUUUUUAAAGUUCAGCAGUUUUAAUCUGAAGUGUAUUCAGCUAUGAAGCAUUUUAUCUUACAGGAAACGUAUUUGAGUAUUUCUCCCCCAUGUUUGUUUUUCUUGAUUGGUCUUUUUGUUCUGUGAUAGUUGGCUGGGAUGUUAGGUAUGGAAUUAGUUUUUGUCUGAUCAGAUAGCAUAUGUACACAUGCUGGAACAGCAUUACAUGCAAUAUAAUUUUUGGUCUGCUUUUGUUUAAAAA